ensembl:lincRNA
GCUGAGGGUCACCAUCUGGAAGAGCAGUGAGCAUGGCGGUAGAGCUGCAGAGGAGGUUGCCUUGCCAUUUAAAAUGAAACUUUUAUGCAAGUUAGAAAUACUUGGUAUAUAAAAUUUUAAAAUCUAUUUGUAAUUUUGGAUGUCUGAUUCAAGAGUUUAGCCUAUUUUUAUCCAGUGUGCAACUUCAGAUCGAUAGCGAUGCAUGUUUGUUUGUUUUGUUUUGGUACUGGGGAUUGAACUCGGGACCUUGCACUUGUGAGACAGGCAGCGGCACCACUGAGCUAAAUCCCUGGCCCUAGUGAUGCAUGUUUGAAGCAAGCCUUUGCAGGCUGUGGAAAUGUCUAAAACAGUUCCCAUCUAAGAGCUCACUCAGCCCAUAUAGGGAGCUCUUGCAUUGAGGAGCCAGCCUGGCUGCACAAGGUGGCUCUUUCCAUCUUCUGUGUAUUUGUUCACCAGGAACCAGGCAAGCGUUCUCAGCUGUGGAGGAUGACAGGAACAGGAAUGCUGGCCCACGAGGGCUCUGCAGUUCCUCACAACCCCAACAAGCCCUCAGCCACCCGCUCCACUGAGGGCUCGGCCAUCCUAGAUAUUGCUGGUCUCGCUGCAGUAACUGACAACAGAUAUGAGCCACUGAUGCUAAGGAAGCCCGACCGCAGGCGAAGCACGACCCAGACAUGGAGUUUCCGAGAAGGAAAGCUGACCUGUGGCUUGCAUGGGCUCGUUGUCCAGGCCAGAGGAGGACUUUCUGGUUUAUUUGAUGGAGCUGAAGUUGUUCUUGGUCCUGACACAUCUAUGGAGCUUUUGGGGCCAGUUCCACCUGAGCAACAAUUUAUUAAUCAAAAAAUGAGGCCUGGUUCUGGAAUGUUAUCUAUCAGAGUCAUCCCAGAUGGACCAACCAGAGCACUCCAGAUAACAGAUUUCUGCCAGAGGAAAAGUGAUCGUGCAUCAUAUGAAGUGGAUGAACUUCCUGUUACUGAACAGGAACUGCAGAAAUUAAGGAAUCCAGAUACAGAGCAGGAAUUGGAAGUGCUUGUGAGGCUAGAAGGUGGAAUUGGUGUGUCCUUAAUUAAUAAGGUCCCAGAAGAACUGGUUUUUGCAAGUCUUAUGGGAAUCAAUGUGCACUACACACAGCUGGCAACCAGUCACAUGCUGGAACUCAGCAUACAGGAUGUACAGGUGGACAAUCAGCUCAUCGGUACCACGCAGCCCUUCAUGCUCUAUGUGACUCCCCUGAGCAGUGAGAAUGAGGUCAUUGAACCGGGCCCCGCCGUGCAGGUCAAUGCGGUGAAGUUCCCUAGCAAAAGCGCGCUGACCAACAUCUACAAGCAUCUGUUAGUCACAGCUCAGAGAUUCACAGUGCAAAUUGAAGAGAAACUGCUCCUCAAACUGCUGAGUUUCUUUGGCUAUGACCAAGCAGAGUCAGAGGUAGAAAAAUACGAUGAGAACCUCCAUGAAAAGACGGUCGAGCAGGGCGGAACACCAAUUCGUUACUAUUUUGAGAAUCUCAAGAUCAGUAUCCCCCAGAUCAAGCUGAGUGUGUUCACUUCCAACAAGCUGCCACUGGACCUCAAGGCCCUAAAAAGCACCUUGGGAUUCCCACUGAUUCGGUUUGAAGAUGCUGUGAUUAAUCUGGAUCCGUUCACCCGAGUCCAUCCCUAUGAGACCAAGGAGUUCAUCAUCAAUGAUAUUCUCAAACAUUUCCAGGAGGAGCUCCUCAGCCAGGCAGCUCGAAUCCUGGGAUCAGUGGAUUUUCUUGGCAAUCCCAUGGGGCUUUUGAACGAUGUCUCUGAAGGAGUUACUGGACUGAUAAAGUAUGGAAAUGUCGGGGGCCUUAUCAGAAAUGUUACACAUGGUGUGUCAAACUCUGCUGCCAAGUUUGCAGGGACACUGUCAGACGGCCUGGGGAAGACGAUGGACAAUCGCCAUCAGUCAGAGCGGGAGUACAUCAGAUACCAUGCAGCGACAAGUGGGGAGCACCUGGUGGCCGGCAUCCACGGCCUGGCUCACGGUAUCAUCGGUGGAUUGACCAGUGUUAUAACAUCAACAGUGGAAGGUGUGAAAACAGAAGGGGGCGUCAGCGGUUUCAUAUCCGGCCUUGGGAAAGGGCUUGUUGGCACUGUAACAAAGCCAGUGGCAGGUGCCCUGGAUUUUGCAUCAGAAACAGCACAGGCUGUAAGAGACACAGCCACACUCAGUGGCCCCAGGACCCAAGCACAGAGAGUCCGGAAACCACGCUGCUGCACGGGACCCCAGGGGCUGCUUCCCCGCUACUCUGAGAGCCAAGCAGAAGGACAGGAGCAGCUUUUCAAACUCACAGACAACAUCCAAGACGAGCUCUUCAUUGCCGUGGAGAACAUCGACAGCUACUGCGUGCUCAUCUCCUCCAAGGCCGUGUACUUCCUCAAGAGUGGAGACUAUGUGGACCGGGAGGCCAUUUUCCUCGAGGUCAAAUACGACGACCUCUACCACUGCCUCGUCUCCAGAGAGCACGGGAAGGUGUAUGUGCAGGUGACCAAGAAAGCCGCGAACUCGAGCAGUGGCGUGGCCAUGCCGGGCCCGUCGCACCAGAAGCCAAUGGUCCAUGUGAAAUCUGAGGUCCUGGCUAUCAAGUUAUCACAAGAAAUAAACUACGCAAAGAGCCUUUACUACGAACAGCAACUUAGGUUAAGACUCAACGAAAAUCAAGAGCAGUUGGAGCUGGACUCCUGAGAAGUCCCAGCUACGGAGACUCCUGGCCACAGAGCCCCCUCGGGAGCACAGACGCCCCUGCCCUCGGCUCAAGUUAGAAGAAAACUGGAAGGAGGUUUGGGGUGGUAUCAGGGAGUGAGGGAAAGGAAAUCGAAAUCCUUACAAGGAGAACACAAAUGGAAAGUAUAUAGUUGUAGGGCAGGGAGUUACUUUAGAUUAUGGGGAAAUCAUUUUUAAAAGGUAUCCAUUGAAUAAGAUAAAAGGAAAAUGUACUGAGAUGAACCUAAUUUUUAGAUCGCCUUGUAUUUUGUUAACAUGUAUAUAUGUACAACUGUGUGUUUGUAAAUACAUAGGCGCUUCUGAGCAGGGCUGUGACCUGUGUGAAGGUUGUUUCUGUAAAGUAAUAUAAAUUGUCCUGGACCCUUGAUUGCGCUAACUCUACAUGUCUCAUUCAGGGGACCGAAGAGAGCGCUCCUGAGAGUUGAAGUGUCGCUGCCGGGUCUCGUGGGUGCAGUGAGAUCUGAGUUGAAGAGCAAGCUUGGCAGUUGUCGGUCACCCCAGGGAGGGACGCAGAGAGGGUCUGGCCACUGCCUCUCGCACAUUUCAGACAGCCCUCAGGUAGUCACAAGUGGGUUGCUAAGGUGCCCAUCCACGUGGCUUUCCCCUGACCAGUGUCACCCAACACGGAAGUAAGACUGUCCCCUCAGCGCACACAGGUCAGUCUUACGCGGUGUUCUCACGCUGCUGUCAGUCACUGAGCCCUUUGUUGGGAUAAGGCAGAUGCCCCUGAUGAGAACGCUGCUCCCUGGCCUGGCACCAGUCUCUCCGGGCAGAAGCUCCCGAGACCCAGUUCUUACAAAGCCACGACCUGGCAGCACAGCUGCAUGGUCCCGGGGACACAGGUGGUGACAGUGGCAUGAGGAGGAGAGCGCAGGAAAGGGAGUGAAAUAUGAGUAUUAAACAGCUGGGGCACAGCAUCUGGGGCAAGGUAAGGCCUCACUGUGGGUGAGUGACUCGCCCUGUGACUCUGGGGAUUUUAUUUUAGUAAAAGCUGAUCACUUUCUGCAGCCUGGUCACAUGUAGCUGAGGCCUGAAGUGGCCUGGUGGAACCGCAGAUGUGUGGAAGGCUUUGGUGUCUGUAACUCAGAUUCCUCCAAGACGCAAAUGAAGCUCAUCUGUCCACCUCUCCCCUUCCUCAGGGACUUUGCACACCCCUGGGGGUGCACGCACACAUGUGCACGUGCUACAUGUAUGUUGUCAUGAUGGUAGCUGAGCGCUUGUCAUGAUGGUCUCAGCGCUUCUGUGUGAGACCUGCAACUCAAGGGCCAAGUCCGAGCCCCUCCUGCCUUGCUCCACGCCCUGCAAGUCUGGUGUGCGGUUUUUGUCACCAGUAAUCCACUGCCCGAGAUCACAGCCUCUCACCAAUGAGGCUCAGGACACUGGCAUCAGCAAGCCUUCUGUCAUUUGUCGGGCUAGGGUCACCGGAAAUGUCCGUCCUGGGGAAAGCGGCUCCUGUCCUGAAGAAGCCGGCCUAGGGCCCGGCAGCACCCGGUGGCGCCAUCCCUGACUACAGGAAGGCACCGAGGCCGCCCUGGCCCGGUGCUUCAGGAACAGCCAGGGUGGUGCCCCUCCCCGCCCCUCUCAUUUAAUCAGCACUUUAAAUAGUCGCCCAUCCCUCUGAGGGCACCACCACCCCGUGAUGUCUGCACCUCAGAAGGGCAGGUGUUAAAGGCACCAAAUGGGCCUGGGGCUGAUGCUCCCAGAACUCUUCCCUGCCCUGCAGCCCCAGCACCAGGAGGGGGACAGCAUCAGAACUCUAGACCAAGCAGCCCCUGCCCUGGCUCCCUCAAUGCCCAUUUCUUAAAUUGGGAUUUAGCUGGUGGUGUCCAAGACUUGGUCAGGACGAUUCCUAUCCAUUUUCAUGCUGCCUCAAACACAGUUCCUUUUUGAGGAGGGUAAAACUAGUGGAAUGCCUUGGGGCAGUGGGGAAGGGGACUUCAGAAGCCAUCCCCUCUCUCUGGCCCAGCCUGGCUGGUGACCUGUGUGUCAAGAUCAGCCGGGCCCAGCCCUGUGCCGUGGAAGCAGACAGGCAACCUCGGCCCUGCCCCAGCAGCCCUGUGCUGGGUAGGUGCCGGAGGCCCCAGGCCCUUUGUUUGCAAGUGUCAUCUGUGCCUCCAAAACCCUAGCAGCUGCUUGGUGGACUGCUGAGAAUAAAGCUGUGGGUCCUCGCCGUGUAACGCACGCAGUCACCAGUGUGUCCAGACUGUGAUCUGGCUUUUCUGUCAGAGUCGUCACUCUUCUUCCUGUGGAAUAAAAUGCGUUGUUGAUUUCCCAGACUCUGUUUUCUUCUCGCUCCGCAGUGUCCCUUCAAUUCCAGAACCAUCACCGGCCACACACACCAAACCCAGUACACCGUUCACCGAAAACACGGCCCCUGGCCUCUGCGGAGGGAAGCACAUCCCUGACGGACCCCGCAGCGUGGUGGUGCUCGGCUUCCUGGAGAGCAGCUCCCGCUCCCCUGUCCUCUGCCGGGCAGUGCCAGCUGCUGCUCCCAGCCUGGCAAGGUGAAGAGGAGGCGGAACAUGACUGUCAGGCAGACUGUGGAGCCAGGCAGACGGGCACCCCGAUUCGCAGGGGAGUCUAGGACAGAAACCUUGCUGAGAGCAUUUUGGUGAGGGGUGAGGAUGAGUGCAAGUUGGAGGAGAUUCGGGAGAAAGAUGGAGAGACAGAGACACCACGCAUCAGUAAGUCUUGGCCAUGAGUGGAUGGACGAGUGCCUGGUACCCCAAGAGGGAAGGGUGGCUGGCAUGGUGACCCACACCAAAGGAAGCGGGAGGGUGGUCACGAAGAGGAGGAGGCUGGAACUUGAUGGCUUCUGUUGUAGCCAGGGAUGAGUGCAGAGCAGUCAUCAGUGGCGGCUCGGAGACAGAAGACAGCCAGUGGUCACCCAGGGUGAAGGGACAGUGGUCCAUGCUGCAGCGUGCAGUGCCCAUCUGAGGCCGAGCUGGGCAGCCUGAAUUUAUUUUCUCCAGCUGCUUUAAGCUGCAUGGGUUCAGUGUGAAACAGGCAGAGAGUUGGAUUUAACCAAGCAAUGCCCCUGCCGCCUGGCCACCCCGCCCACUGUUGCCCUCAACCCCGGGGAGUCAGAACUGCUGAACGGGAGUUGGAGCGUGCAGAGCUGGGAGGGGACACGGCCCCUCUUCUGAGCAGAGGAGAUUGGCGGGGGGUGCCCCCCAGGAGAGCACAGCAAGGCUAUUUGGGGUUCGCAGACGCAGUGGGCAAUGUUUGAAGAUGAACUGUCCAGGCCUCUGGGGCCCAGAAAGGGAGUGUGUGGAGCUGUUCCAUUUCCCACGCAAGCUCAGCACGCUACCCACAGGUCCCAAUCCACAACAAGGACAGCAGCUUUUCACUGCAAAGCAAGCUCAGUGUUCCCUGCUCCCAGGACCCAGGCACAGGUAUUUAAAAACCCCAGAGCGAGGUGUGGUAGCCUAUGCCUAUAAUCUCGGCACUAGGGAGGCUGAGGCAGGAGGAUCCCAGUGAGUUUGAGUGCAGUGUGGGUUGCAUAGUGAGACCCUGUCUCAAUAAAGAAAAAAAAAAGUCCAGAAGUGCUUUCUAAAGCAGGAGUCCAAGUACAUUCAUUUUUAAGAAGUUUCAACAAACUCAGAAC